GCCAGACUCCUACGGGAGGCAGCAGUGGGGAAUCUUCCGCAAUGGGCGAAAGCCUGACGGAGCAACGCCGCGUGAUCGAAUGAAGGCCUUCGGGUUGUAAAGAUCUGUUGAUAGGGACGAAUAAGCAAUGCGAAUAGUUUUGUGUAUGACGGUACCUGUUUAGAAAGCUCCGGCUAAAUACGUGCCAGCAGCCGCGGUAAUACGUAUGGAGCAAGCGUUAUCCGGAAUUACUGGGUGUAAAGGGAGCGUAGGCGGCAAGGCAAGUCUGAUGUGAAAACCCAGGGCCCAACCCUGGGACUGCAUUGGAAACUGUAUUGCUUGAGUACCGGAGAGGCAGGCGGAAUUCCUAGUGUAGCGGUGAAAUGCGUAGAUAUUAGGAGGAACACCGGCGGCGAAGGCGGCCUGCUGGACUGCGACUGACGUUGAGGCUCGAAAGCGUGGGGAGCGAACAGGAUUAGAUACCCUUGUACA
rnacentral:rRNA from 1 species